rnacentral:tRNA from 1 species
GGCACGGUGGUGCAGUGGGUAGCACUGUCGCCUCACAGCAAAAAGGUCUUUGUUUCAAAUCCGGCCUGGGCCU